AGAGAAAAUCUGUGAGUGGAUUUCUUUUUGAGUGAGGAAAAUGAAUGGAUAUUUUUUGUCGUGAGUGAGCUGAGUGAGGGAGAUAUUUGAGAGAUUUGCAACGUGGGUCUUUGUGUGAUUUUUUUUAGAUUGAAGAGAGAAUGAGGUGUGUGUGACCGUUGGGAGUGGAGAGAGAUAGUGAGGGACAGGUGGAAGAGAGACAUUAGAGUUUCUAUUAUUUUUUAUUUGUUUUUUUUUAUUUAAGAAAAAGAGGAUCCAAUGCAAAUAUAUAUAUAUAUUUAUUUUAACAUACUCAUUAUUCAUUUAAGAAAAUAGAAUUAUUUAAUAAAAAAAACUAAUUAACAUUUGAUUUAAAUAAAUUUUAACUACUUUAAUUAACUAACUAACCGAAGAUAUUGAUCCAUUAAAAAUAGAAAUCGAGUGCAAAUUUGUUCAGAAAAUUAAAUCAAUCACACCAAAAUUAUCAACACAAAACACAUUACUUGAAAAAUACACUGUUUCCUCAAAUUUUGACAAUUCAACCGAUUUGUCUGUAUUCUCAAAUAAAUUCAUUUUGACUGACAUUUUAGGUGUUUA
rnacentral:lncRNA from 1 species